rnacentral:rRNA from 1 species
CGGGAGGCUAGGCACUGGGGGAAGUAUUGCUACAAUGGGCGCAAGCCUGAUGCGAGCCAUGCCGCGUGUAUGAAGAAGGCCUCGGGUUGUAAAGUACUUCAGCAGUGAGGAAGGUCGGGUAUGUUAAUAGCAUAUUCAUUUGACGUUAGCUGCAGAAGAAGCCACCGGCUAACUCCGUGCCAGCAGCCGCGGUAAUACGGAGGGUGCGAGCGUUAAUCGGAAUUACUGGGCGUAAAGCGCAUGCAGGUGGUUUGUUAAGUCAGAUGUGAAAGCCCGGGGCUCAACCUCGGAAUUGCAUUUGAAAACUGGCAAACUAGAGUACUGUAGAGGGGGUAGAAUUUCAGGUGUAGCGGUGAAAUGCGUAGAGAUCUGAAGGAAUACCGGUGGCGAAGGCGGCCCCCCUGGACAGAUACUGACACUCAGAUGCGAAAGCGUGGGGAGCAAACAGGAUUAGAUACCCUGGUAG